rnacentral:rRNA from 1 species
GUUCUUUUGUUUAUAAUUUAAGGUCUAGUCUGCCCAAUGAAAAUUUAAAUGGCCGCGGUAUUUUGACUGUGCUAAGGUAGCAUAAUCAUUAGUUUUUUAAUUAAAAGCUGGAAUGAAGGGUUGGAUGAAAAAUUGACUGUCUCUAAUUAAUUUAAUUAGAAUUUUAUUUUUAAGUUAAAAAGCUUAAAUAAUUUUAAAAGACGAGAAGACCCUUUAGAGUUUAAAUAUUUAAUUUAUAAAUAUUUAGUAUUAAUUUUUUAUAAUUAUUAUGUAUUUAAUUGGGGUGAUUAAAAAAUUUAAUAAACUUUUUUUAUAUAUUUAUAUUGAUUAAUAAAUUAAUGAUCCAAAAAUUUUGAUUAUAAAAUAAAUUACCUUAGGGAUAACAGCGUAAUUUUAUUAGAGAGUUCUAAUCGAAAAUAAAGUUUGCGA